rnacentral:rRNA from 1 species
UAGGGAAUCUUCCACAAUGGGCGCAAGCCUGAUGGAGCAACACCGCGUGAGUGAAGAAGGGUUUCGGCUCGUAAAGCUCUGUUGUUGAAGAAGAACGUGCGUGAGAGUAACUGUUCACGCAGUGACGGUAUUCAACCAGAAAGUCACGGCUAACUACGUGCCAGCAGCCGCGGUAAUACGUAGGUGGCAAGCGUUAUCCGGAUUUAUUGGGCGUAAAGCGAGCGCAGGCGGUUGCUUAGGCCUGAUGUGAAAGCCUUCGGCUUAACCGAAGAAGUGCAUCGGAAACCGGGCGACUUGAGUGCAGAAGAGGACAGUGGAACUCCAUGUGUAGCGGUGGAAUGCGUAGAUAUAUGGAAGAACACCAGUGGCGAAGGCGGCUAUCUGGUCUGCAACUGACGCUGAGGCUCGAAAGCAUGGGUAGCGAACAGGAUUAGAUACCCUGGUAGUCCAUGCCGUAAACGAUGAGUGCUAGGUGUUGGAGGGUUUCCGCCCUUCAGUGCCGGAGCUAACGCAUUAAGCACUCCGCCUGGGGAGUACGACCGCAAGGUUG